rnacentral:rRNA from 1 species
UACGGAGGGGGCAAGCGUUUGUUCGGAAUUACUGGGCGUAAAGGGCGCGCAGGCGGCUGCUCAAGUCAGGCGUGAAAGGCCUGGGCUCAACCCGGGAAUUGCGCUUGAGACUGGGGCUAUUGAGUGCGGGGAGAGGAUUGGUGGAAUUCCCAGUGUAGAGGUGAAAAUUCGUAGAUAUUGGGGAAAGAAACACCGAUGGCGAAAGGCAGCCCCCCUGGGUCA